rnacentral:rRNA from 1 species
UACGUAGGGUGCGAGCGUUGUCCGGAAUUACUGGGCGUAAAGAGCUCGUAGGUGGUUUGUCGCGUUGUUCGUGAAAUCUCACGGCUUAACUGUGAGCGUGCGGGCGAUACGGGCAGACUGGAGUACUGCAGGGGAGACUGGAAUUCCUGGUGUAGCGGUGGAAUGCGCAGAUAUCAGGAGGAACACCCGUGGCGAAGGCGGUUCUCUGGGACGGUACUGACGCUGAGACGCGAAAGCGUGGGGAGCGAACAGG